UGUGAAUAGUACCAAUUUCGUUUGUAUUUGACAAAUAUUAUCCAAUCAUGGACUAACUAGGCUCAAAAGAUUCGUCUUGUCAAUUUCGACCAAACUGUGUAAUUAGUUUUUAUUUUCGUCUAUAUUUAAUAUUUCAUGCAUACGUCUAAAGAUUCGAUGUGACGGGGAAUCUGAAAAAUUUUGCAAAAUUUUUUGGAACUAAACAAGGCCUAUAUAUCGUGGGUGAUAAGUUGGUAAGUGCUUGAUUGGAAACUAAACUUGGCAAUAUUCUUUUAGCCCCCACAUUUCAUAGAGUAAAAAAAUAAAAAGAUUGAGUUUGGUUUUGAGACAACAUGGGAUGGGACGGUGCCACCUCCUUAUUUCAGAAUGGGACGAUCCCAUCUUCUUAUUUGGUUGAAGGGACGAAAUCAUCCUUGUUUUAUAUUUGGUAGAAGGGAUGGACAACCAUGGGAUGGAUGGCUUCUUUUAUUUCUAUUACCAACCAUAAGUAUAGAGCUCAUGUGUCAUCCGACAAUUUUUUCACCUUCUUCUCUUCCCCGCAUGUCCUCAUAUGCCACGGCUAUCAUGGAUGCCGCUGCCCUAGCUCAAUUCGCUCUCCCCUCCCCCUCCAAUACAAAACCCGGAGCUUGCUUGCUCAAUUCCUCACCAUCGCCAUAGCUCUCACACCUGUGGGGAUCACUCCGCGUGCGUUGUGGCCUUCCUAGGGAUGUUGCAUCCUCUUCCCAAUGUGGCGCCCCCUACUGAGCGACCCUUCAACAAUGACUCUUUCUUGGAGGUCUCUCUUGAGCAGCCACAACCUGUCUCAAGUGGUCCCGGCCUUUUUCGCCCACGC
rnacentral:lncRNA from 1 species